AACGCACAUUGCGCCUCCUGGUAUUCCGGGAGGCAUGCCUGUUCGAGCGUCAUUAAAAACCACUCAAGCUCUUUUGCUUGGUAUUGGGAGAUGAGUAUACUUUUCCUAGUUUACUCACUUUCGAAAUUCAAAGGCGUAGAGCCCCACAUACCACAGCGUAGUAAGUUUUCUUUCGCUUGGAGUGUGAGGUGAUAUUGCCACAAACCCCCAAUUAUCUUCUAGGUUGACCUCGGAUCAGGUAGGGAUACCCGCUGAACUUAA
rnacentral:misc_RNA from 1 species